UACGAAGGGGGCUAGCGUUGCUCGGAAUCACUGGGCGUAAAGCGCACGUAGGCGGCUUUCUAAGUCAGGGGUGAAAUCCUGGAGCUCAACUCCAGAACUGCCUUUGAUACUGAGAAGCUUGAGUCCGGGAGAGGUGAGUGGAACUGCGAGUGUAGAGGUGAAAUUCGUAGAUAUUCGCAAGAACACCAGUGGCGAAGGCGGCUCACUGGCCCGGUACUGACGCUGAGGUGCGAAAGCGUGGGGAGCAA
rnacentral:rRNA from 1 species